rnacentral:tRNA from 1 species
GGACAGAUGGCCGAGUGGCUAAAGGCGGCAGACUGUAAAUCUGCUCGGGUAACCGUACGUUGGUUCGAAUCCAGCUCUGUCCA